UCUUCUAAUCUACUAUCUCUAAUCAAUCUCUAAUCCUACCAUCUCGGGGCUCCAGCCCACUAUGAAUAUUGACUAAGUAGUAACCUACAGCACUAAACUAGCUACUACUAUGAAUUAUCACAGCAAUGAAGUGGAUGAUACAACCUACUGCUAAGGAGAUGUUGUUCAGGAGCGAGAGCCAAAUGAAAACCACCAAACCAAUGAUUCAAAAUCCAAAACAAUCGUCUCAACUAACUCCAAAACACACACACACACACACGCACACACACACACACACACAAAAGAAAAAAAAAAACAAAAAAAAAGUCAAUCAGACUCGAAAUGACGGAACAGGAGAUGUUCGUGCAUGUGUGCUGAGAAUACGUGCUACGUGUUGACAGCCAGACAUGAAUCAUCCGAUCGGGUGAGAAUUUCACUUUAGCGGAUACUUAUUUUGCAGGAACCAUCUACACAAACAAUUCCAGUCAACAAAGCCCAAAAAGGGAGAAAAAGGAAACUCACUUGCUAACAUAAUAAUCCACAAAUCCAAGCGCACCUACUGCGCUAGACCACAGCCCCAGUAUAUUCCACGUUAACGCACCCCGAGCAUGCCAGCGAUAUGCACUAAAUCCCAACCCGGCGCCCGCAAUAGCCAUCAACAUCGCGUUUCCCAAAAGGACGGGAUUUGAACUGUUCCGGAGAAGGGACAACUUGGCGGACGCUGCUUUAUUCUUUACGGCUUUCGCUUUCCCCUUGGCGUCUCUUGCUGCGGCGCGUUUGGCUUCUCUUUCGGCUUGCUCGCGCCGCUGUUUCUCCUCGCCCUCGCGCUCGAUGCGCUCGGCUUGGGUGUUUGUUUUUAUACGCUGAGACUCGUAGGUGGGGGGAACAGAGGAGAUGUGCGGGGAGUCGACAUCGAUUAGAGAGGAUGUUGCAGGUUCAGCUUCGGCGACUUCAACUUCACGAGGUUGGGGUGCCGCACUGAUUUUAUGUGCGUGUGGUGUUAGUGUUGGAGAGCACUUUUCAGGUGACGGGCCAAAUGCUAAUGGGGUUAUCUCGUGCAAGUGUGUGUGUUUAUGCUAACUUACGCCUGGAUGUUUGUUAGCAGGUAUAGACACAACUACUCUAAGUAAGUUAAACGACGUACCUCUUGAGGAGAUUGUUGGGCACCCCGGGAGACUGCUUUGGCGUAGGACAUUUUCGGCGUUGUUUUAUUGGAUGCUGGUUAGGGAGGUGCUGGAUAUCUUCCAGAUCAGCGUGGAAGCGAAUAUGUGGCAAUAAAUAUAGACUCAGGGAGGUUGGUAUGAAGAAGUAGAUAUGUACUGUAAGUUGUCUGUCGUUUGAACGAAACAAUGAAUUAGCUACUGAUAUAGCUAUGUGUGCUGAGCUGGAUGAGUGACGAAACCAGUUCUUUCCUUAUUGCAAGAUGGGAUAAUGAGCUGGAUACUAGUAGUAUGUUUAUUGGAAAUGACAAUCAUAUGAGUCCCUGUCCAUGUGACCCUCUGACCAGCUCUGGACUUUUGGCAAUGGAAUUGGUAUAUGUAUACGAAAGGAU
rnacentral:sRNA from 1 species